rnacentral:rRNA from 1 species
CCUACGGGAGGCAGCAGUGGGGAAUAUUGCGCAAUGGACGAAAGUCUGACGCAGCGACGCCGCGUGAGGGAUGAAGGUUUUCGGAUCGUAAACCUCUGUCAGGAGGGAAGAAAGCGUAUGGCGCCAAUCAGCCAUGCGUUGACGGUACCUCAAAAGGAAGCGACGGCUAACUCCGUGCCAGCAGCCGCGGUAAUACGGAGGGCGCGAGCGUUAAUCGGAAUUACUGGGCGUAAAGCGCGCGUAGGCUGGUGUGUAAGUUGGGGGUGAAAGCCGACGGCUCAACCGCUGACCAGCCCUUGAUACUGCGCGACUUGAAUGCGCGAGAGGGUGGCGGAAUUCCAGGUGGAGGAGUGAAAUCCGUAGAUAUCUGGAGGAACAUCAGUGGCGAAGGCGGCCACCUGGACCGGUAUUGACGCUGAGGCGCGAAAGCGUGGGGAGCAAACAGGAUUAGAUACCCUGGUAGUC